AUUGAACGCUGUCGGCAGGCUUAACACAUGCAAGUCGAACGAGUGGCGGACGGGUGAGUAAUGCUUGGGAAUCUAGCUUAUGGAGGGGUAUAACUACUGGCAACUGUAGCUAAUACCGCGUACCAUCGGAUGAGCCCAAGUGGGAUUAGGUAGUUGGUGAGGUAAAGGCUCACCAAGCCGACGAUCUCUAGCUGGUCUGAGAGGAUGCCCAGGCAGACGGGGACGGAGACACGGCACAGACGCCGAAGGGAGGCAGGAGUGGGGAAUAUUGCGAAAGGGGGGCAAGCGGACGGAGCCAUGCAGCGUGAAUGAAGAAGGCCUUAGGGGUGUAAAGGACUUUCGGUAGGGAGGCGGUAAAUAAAGAAGAAGCACCGGCUAACUACGUGCCAGCAGCCGCGGUAAUAC
rnacentral:rRNA from 1 species